GAUCUUGGCGAUGGAGUUGAAGUUAGUUUUGCUGCCGAAGAGCCCGUGCAAAAAGACGACGGCCGGGAGGGCUGCCUCCCCGUCCAGAAGCCUGUAGGAAAGCGGAAGCGGCCUGGCAGGGGAAGGAUCGAGGUCAGAGUCUGAGCCGGCGGAGACGGGGAAAGGGGUAGGGGGAAAGAGCUUUGGGGGAGAGGCCUGGGAGGUGACAGGCCCAAAGGGAGGAGAUGGGGCCGUCGGGGCCCGGCAGGAAAAGGAGGACAGAGGAUGGCCUCCCGCCC
rnacentral:lncRNA from 1 species